GACGAACGCUGGCGGCGUGCCUAAUACAUGCAAGUUGAGCGAUGAAGAUUGGUGCUUGCACCAAUUUGAAGAGCAGCGAACGGGUGAGUAACGCGUGGGGAAUCUGCCUUUGAGCGGGGGACAACAUUUGGAAACGAAUGCUAAUACCGCAUAACAACUUUAAACAUAAGUUUUAAGUUUGAAAGAUGCAAUUGCAUCACUCAAGGAUGAUCCCGCGUUGUAUUAGCUAGUUGGUGAGGUAAAGGCUCACCAAGGCGAUGAUACAUAGCCGACCUGAGAGGGUGUUCAGCCACAUUGGGACUGGGACACGGCCCAAACUCCUACGGGAGGCAGCAGUAGGGAAUCUUCGGCAAUGGGCGAAAGUCUGACCGCGCAACGCCGCGUGAGUGAAGAAGGUUUUCGGGUCGUAAAACUCUGUUGGUAGGGAAGAACGUUGGUGAGAGUGGAAAGCUCAUCAAGUGACGGUAACUACCCAGAAAGGGACGGCUAACUACGUG
rnacentral:rRNA from 1 species